rnacentral:rRNA from 1 species
GCUAGUAGGAGGACAUUACACAAAUAUGAAGGCGGGCUGGAACCUCUCGGGGUUACAGCCUUGCUGAAUUAUUCACCCUUGUCUUUUGCGUACUUCUUGUUUCCUUGGUGGGUUCGCCCACCACUAGGACAAACAUAAACCUUUUGUAAUUGCAAUCAGCGUCAGUAACAAAUUAAUAAUUACAACUUUCAACAACGGAUCUCUUGGUUCUGGCAUCGAUGAAGAACGCAGCGAAAUGCGAUAAGUAGUGUGAAUUGCAGAAUUCAGUGAAUCAUCGAAUCUUUGAACGCACAUUGCGCCCUUUGGUAUUCCAAAGGGCAUGCCUGUUCGAGCGUCAUUUGUACCCUCAAGCUUUGCUUGGUGUUGGGCGUCUUGUCUCUAGCUUUGCUGGAGACUCGCCUUAAAGUAAUUGGCAGCCGGCCUACUGGUUUCGGAGCGCAGCACAAGUCGCACUCUCUAUCAGCAAAGGUCUAGCAUCCAUUAAGCCUUUUUUUCAACUUUUGACCUCGGAUCAGGUAGGGAUACCCGCUGAACUUAAGCAUAUCAAAAAGGGGGAAAAAA